rnacentral:rRNA from 1 species
CGAGGAAUUUUCCGCAAUGGGCGAAAGCCUGACGGAGCAACGCCGCGUGGGGGAAGAAGGCCUUCGGGUUGUAAACCCCUGUUGCGAGGGAAGAAGAUCUGACGGUACCUCGCGAGGAAGCCACGGCUAACUACGUGCCAGCAGCCGCGGUAAUACGUAGGUGGCAAGCGUUGUCCGGAUUUACUGGGCGUAAAGCGCGCGCAGGCGGACUGGUCAGUCCGGGGUGAAAUCUCACGGCUCAACCGUGAGGGGUCCCUGGAUACUGCCAGCCUUGAGGGGCUCAGAGGAGAGUGGAAUUCCGGGUGUAGUGGUGGAAUGCGUAGAUAUCCGGAGGAACACCAGUGGCGAAAGCGGCUCUCUGGGGGCAACCUGACGCUGAGGCGCGAAAGCGUGGGGAGCGAACCGGAUUAGAUACCCUUGUAGUCCCUGAGCGGGCUGGCAAGGCGCAU